rnacentral:rRNA from 1 species
GACGAACGCUGGCGGCGUGCUUAACACAUGCAAGUCGAACGGAAAGGCCCUGCUUUUGUGGGGUGCCCGAGGGGCGAACGGGGGAGUAACACGUGAGUAACCUGCCCUUGACUUUGGGAUAACUUCAGGAAACUGGGGCUAAUACCGGAUAGGAGCUCCUGCUGCAUGGUGGGGGGUGGAAAGUUUCGGCGGUUGGGGAUGGACUCGCGGCUUAUAAGCUUGUUGGUGGGGGAGUUGCUUACCAAGGCUUUGACGGGUAGCCCGCCAGAGAGGGUGACCGGCCACCUUGGGACUGAGAUACGGCACAGACUCCUACGGGAGGCAGCAGUGGGGAAUAUUGCACAAUGGGCGGAAGCCUGAUGAAGCAACGCCGCGUGCGGGAUGACGGCCUUCGGGUUGUAAACCGCUUUCGCCUGUGACGAAGCGUGAGUGGCGGUAAUGGGUAAAGAAGCCCCGGCUAACUACGUG